rnacentral:rRNA from 1 species
GCCUACAAUCAAUCACCCAGAAUGCGCCUCAUCGUGUCAGCUCACUGAAGCUAAAGCAGGGUUGAAACUGGAUAGUGUUUGGAUGGGCAACCACCAUGCAUGACAGGCGUUAGAGGCU